rnacentral:rRNA from 1 species
UGCCAGCCGCCGCGGUAAUACGGAGGGUGCAAGCGUUAAUCGGAAUUACUGGGCGUAAAGAGUACGUAGGCGGCUUUACAAGUCGGGUGUGAAAGCCCUGAGCUUAACUCAGGAACUGCAUUCGAUACUGUAUCGCUAGAGUUUAUUAGAGGAUAGCGGAAUUCCAGGUGUAGCGGUGAAAUGCGUAGAUAUCUGGAGGAACACCAAUGGCGAAGGCAGCUAUCUGGGAUAUAACUGACGCUGAGAUACGAAAGCGUGGGUAGCAAACGGGAUUAGAUA